AAAGCAAGACCCGCUGAAUAAAAAUUAUUUUGCAUGAUGGAGGCGCUGCGACACUGCAACCUCCGGGCCUCCGUACUGUCAUUUGAUCGGCACUCGGAAGCUACCGUUGGA
rnacentral:sRNA from 1 species